CAGGUAGGACUACCCGCUGAACUUAAGCAUAUCAAUA
rnacentral:rRNA from 3 species